rnacentral:rRNA from 1 species
UACGUAGGUGGCAAGCGUUGUCCGGAAUUACUGGGCGUAAAGGCGUGACGCAGGCGGUUCGCGUAAGACCGAUGUGAAAUCCCCGGGCUUAAACCUCGGGAACUGCCAUUGGUGACUGGCGGGCUAGAGUAUGGCAGAGGGGGGUAGGAAUUCCACGUGUAGCAGUGAAAUGCGUAGAGAUGUGGAGGAAUACCGAUGGCGAAGGCAGCCCCCUGGGCCAAUACUGACGCUCAUGCACGAAAGCGUGGGGAGCAAACAGG